rnacentral:rRNA from 1 species
GGUUUGAUUAUGGCUCAGAUUGAACGCUGGCAGGAUAACUUUACGGCAAGUCGAACGGCAGCACGGACUUCAGUCUGGUGGCGGAAAUCAACGAACAGGUGAGUAAUGUAUCCGGAACGUACUAGUAGCGGGGGAUAACUACGCGAAAGCGUAGCUAAUACCACAUCGCCCUUCGGGGAAAGCAAGGGGACCUUCGGGCCUCGCACUAUUAGAGCGGCCGAUAUCGGAUUAGCUAGUUGGUGGGGUAACGCUCCUGAGCGGCGAUCGUAGCUGGUUUGAGAGGACGACCAGCCACUGGAUAGAACACGGCCCAGACUCACGGGAGGCAGCAGUGGGGAAUUUUGGACAAUGAAACCUGAUCCAGCCAUCCCGCGUGUGCGAUGAAGGCCUUCAGGUUGUAAAGCACUUUUUGGCAGGAAAGAAACAUGCAGGAUAAUACCCCGUGCACAACCAAUGACCACCACCUCACGGAAUAAGCACCGGCUAACUACGUGCCAGCAGCCGCGGUAAUACGUAGGGUGCAAGCGUUAAUCGGAAUUACUGGGCGUAAAGCGUGCGCAGGCGGACGGAAAGAAAGAUGUAAAUCCCAGAGCUUAACUGGAACUGCAUUUUUAACUACCGAGCUAGGUGUGUCAGAGGAGGUGGAAUUCGCGUGUAGCAGUGAAAUGCGUAGAUAUGCGGAGGAACACCGAUGGCAAGGCAGCCUCCUGGGAUAACACUGACGCUCAUGCACGAAAAGCAGUAGAGCAAACAGGAUUAGAUACCCUGGUAGUCCACGCCCUAAACGAUGUCAACUAGCUGUUGGGGCCUUCAGGCCUUGGUAGCGCAACUAACGCGUGAAGUUGACCGCCUGGGAAGUACAGUCGCAAGAUUAAAAACUCAAAGAAUUGACGAGAGGACCCGCACAAGCGGUGGAUGAUGUGGAUUAAUUCGAUGCAGCAACCACUACCCACUUGACAUAUCUGGAAUCCGAAGAGAUUUGGGAGUGCUCGCAAAGAACCGGAACACAGGUGCUGCAUGGCUGUCGUCGGCUCGUGUCGUGAGAUGUUGGGUUAAGUCCACAACGAGGCACAACCCUUGUCAUUAGUUGCUACGAAAAGGGCACUCUAAUGGGGGCUUUGCCGGUGACAAACCGGAGGAAGGUGGGGAUGACGUCGAGUCCUCAUGGCCCAUAUGGGUAGGGCUUCACGUCAUACAAUGGUCGGGACAGAGGGGUCGCCAACCGAGAGUGUCGAGGAAACCCGAUCAUGGUCCGGAUCGCAGUCUGCAACUCGACUGCGUGAAGUCAGGAGAAAUCGCUAGUAAUCGCGGAUCAGCAUGUCGCGGUGAAUACGUUCCAGGUCUUGUACACCGCCCGUCACCAUGGGAGUGGGAUAGUUAGCCUAACCGUAAGGAGGCGAUUACCACGGUAGGAUUCAUGACUGAGGUGAAGUCGUAACAAGGUAA